AUGGAAGUCGUGCAGAUGGACGAUGCAAGUGAUGCAUGUUAUGAGCAUAUGCAUGCAGGCCUGGAAGCUCUCCUGGUGAGUGGGGCACCGUUGGCAGCUAGUAGGGAUGGUCUGGCAUUUGAGGAUAGAUUGGUCGAAAGAGCUGAAGCAAGGAGCAAUGGGAAUAUGGAAAAUGCGGCUGCUAUGAGUGUCGCACGGCAAUAUCAUAGUGCUGGGCAUUCUGGUAGUGUCAACGGCCUCCACGGCCUCGAAGCCCCCAACAGGCAAAGAGGCGCAGGGAGGCCGACAAACAGCAGAGACAAAGCCCCGUACGAAGGGUUAAGCAAGCGAACCAGGUUCUGCAGCAUUUGUCGUCGCGAAGGUCACAAAAGGAUGACAUGCCCGGAGAGGGGUGACGCUCCAAAGAAGCCGAGGAAGCCAAGAAAAUGCAAGAACUGUGGAAUAGAAGGUCAUCGACGAAACACCUGCAAGCGACCACUUGGUUUAGCAGAGUAG
rnacentral:rRNA from 1 species